AUUAUUAUAAAAUUUCAGGCCGGGUGUUGGUGGCCCAUGCCUUUAAUCCCAGCACUUAGGAGGCAGAGGCAGGCAGAUCUCUGUGAGUUUGAGGCCAGCUUGGUCUACAGAGCCGAGUUCCAGGACAGGCUCCAAAACAAUACAGAGAAACCCUGUCUUGGAAAAUAGAAAAACAAACAAACAAAAAAUUUCAGGUUCUAUGUAGGUGUCUGUAUACUUGUGUGAUAAACAAAAUCUUCAGCAUACUUGGAAUCUUUCAACAACACCAUACAAUAUUACUAUCGGAAAUGAUUUUACUGUCAGAUGAUUUCUUCAUGAUCACUUUGAAAUGUUAAGAAAAAUCAAUAUAAUCUUCAAAAUAAUGCAUUUUGUGUUUAAAAAGGCAAACCAUAUCUUAAAAGUAACAUGAAAUACAGACUCAAAAAACCCGGCCUCUCAUUUUUCCCAAGGACUGUACUGUCAAAUGGAGAAUAUCCAAGAUCUAGAAAGAAAACCCACUACAUAUCUGAUGUGGAAAAGUUCUGGAAAUGCAAAAUCACAGAGUUGCAGUUUUGUGGCACAUUAAUUGGCCAGCUUAUUGAUUGAUAGGGCUGGGGAUGUUGUAUACUAGGCAAGUCUCUAUCACUGAACUGUAUCUAGGCUCUGUCUGGAGCACUUCUGAUUGUCUAACACAUUUUUUUUUCUUAUGGGCAAAUGAUAUAUGCAUAAUAUCUCAGAAAUAAGAAAUGGAAAGUUAAAAAAAUACAGGGAAUGAAGAUGCAUAGUUUUCCAAAUUCCUCUCCUAUAAUUAGUUGAACAGCGUGCCCAAUAGUUGUAUUAGUCUAAGUCCAUCUGGCACAUAUAAUAAUGAAAACUAGAAACUUGUAUAUAAAGAAUUGAGUACAUUACUUACAUAAAAUCAAUAAUUAUUUUAAGAAUUAAUAAAUAUGCUUAUAUACAUGUAAUAUAUAAAAUACAUAAAUGAUUGAAAUGUUUAAAAUAGAUACAUGUUUAAAGAAGGUACAAUGUAAAACAAUAGGAUAUGCACAUAACUUCAUAAGUACAAGUAGAUAUUUAUUAUAUAAGCAAGAAAUCAUCAAAAAAAUUGGGGAUAUUUAUCCAGUAGCUGAUAGAAGCAGAAGCAGAGACCCACAACUAAGCACUGAGCCAAACUCCUGGAAUCCAGUUGUAGAGAGGGAGGAGUGUUGAGCAAAGGGGUCAAGACCAUGCUGGGGAAACCCAUAGAGACAACUGACCUGACCAAGUGAGACCUCACAGACCCCAGUCUGACAGCUGGAGAAACACUAUCCCUGAUGUUGUGUAGGUCAUGCUGCUUUGACUAGAGCCUCUGAACUACUAUUAAAAAUUUAAAUGAAUUUCUUUAUGUACCCAGAAGUGGUGAGCAAUGCCUACCUUGCCUUUUCCAUAUCUCUAUUUCCUUCACUUUGGACCAUUGACAGCAUAUUGAAGGAUCAGCCUGUGCCACAAACCCAAGGUCAGCAUAGUCAGUAUCAUGGAGCUCACAGGAACUCAUCAUUGUGCCUUGCCCUAUGGCUAACCUCAUUAGCUGGCUAGCUUCCCUGACUAGGCCAAAAAUCCAGAACAGAAAGCUCAUUUUAGUAGGCUAUUUCUCUGUGGUUCGUUGUAAAAUGGAAAGUCUAUGUCCAUGCUGGUGUACUGUGGAGUCAUGGCCUGGCCCUGCUCUUGCCAUUAGCUAGCUGUGUGGAGUAGUCUACCUCACUAGCUCUGGUUUCAGCAUCCAUACUGCGCCAGAAUCUGGACAGAUGUUAACAAUCUAACACUUUAUGAUUCCAGAUAAUAAACAAGCUGACUCUUAAAACGUAAACUGGUAC
rnacentral:lncRNA from 1 species